UCAUAUCAACAACAACCAUAUUCGGUCAAAGUCGCCCGUUGGUCUCGAUGCGCUAAUUAGAAUUCAAGCCACAAGUCUGGACACGUUAAACCGUCCCCUGUGAUAAACCGCCUAACGAUUCAGAUUUCCGGUCGCAACAUCCGCCUUACGACGACUCAAAUCCAGUAAAAUAGUCUCACCCGGCCGGAUACGACAACCGUAACAGCUAUUUUCAGCGCCGAUUUCGAUGUCUUCCAUUUUUUCAAGUGCCGAUACGAACGCCACUGAUGAGGGAAAGUCAAUUGGCUCUGCCCGCCUAACUAGGCACUGGCGUGCGUGCAACAAAAAAAAAUCGAGUUAAUAUUAACCGAGAGUCAUUGGCGGGCACGAGACCGCCAAGUUUAAAGACCUCUCGAUUCAUCAACGAUUUUUUGGCACACGCCCCAAAGGUGCUUGUUUCAAUCCGGCUUUUUUUGGAAACAGUAAUGUUUUGGAACAUCAUGAUUUUCACACGACCCGCUAUUAAUCAUGGAUAGUGAUUCACUCGAUGUACUGGUGUCGUUUAUUGAAGCACUAAGGGUCGAAUCGAGACUUUUGACUGGCCAAGACAAUCAUCGAUGUUGCUGUGUUAGUGUUGGGGCGUCUAAACAGUUUACUUUGGCCUCCCAGUCCACCAGAUUUAAGUUCCUUUGAUACGAAUGUGCAACAUCUAAGUGAGAACAAUUUCCGCCAGUGGCGGCAAGAAGAAAGCCACUAAUUUUUCUGUGCAUCAUAAACUCUCUCAUUGUUGAGCGCACGUCAGUACCGUUUGGUUCCGAAAAAAAUGACCCGGAUUUGGAAAAAAAUACCGAUAAAUUUUCCAACGAACGCGAUGACAUCAGUGGCAGGCAGCGUUAAUUCCCAGAAAGUGGCGUUGUUUCAGUAUUUUGACCCGAGAUGCGCAAAAUCGCUUUAAAUCAAACUUUAGACUUCGUGCGGUGCGAGCUCCGGCCAUGAAAGGUCGUAGUGCGGUGCUACUGGAUGCGCCUGCGCCCCACUCGCGGUUCCUGCAGUCUACAGUGUCAGUGUAAAUAUUUGCCAUAGUACUACUACGACGACCUUCGGCCGGCUUUAAACCGCUUGGGAUAAUAAAGCGACGAUACGAAUCGGAAUAAGACAGCCGAACAUAUUAUCUGUUCACUUUGUUCGGCUGCUCAUGCUGCGUUGCCACAAUUAAAGCCGAUAAUCUGGUACUGCGAUGAGUGUUUCAACCAGUGGCGUGUCAACAGCCAAGGACUUAAAGCGAACGGACGUUCUAGUUAACCAUUGGUGCAUUUACGCCAAUAACUCAACUAGCAAGUCUAUCCCAGAUGGAUUUUCCUUAUACUGAACCGUUACGUCUUUGUUCAGCAAAUAGUUUUCCUGGUUAUGCGGGAUUUUAGCACAGUCUGGCAACGCUCGAAAACGGAUGCAAGUAAAUUGCGCCCCUUAACCAUUUCAUCGAUAUUAAAUUAAAAUUUAAGAGCAUUUUUUUAACAAUUGUGCUCUACUAAAAGAAGGUUCAAUUUUCAAUGUGGUUUUCGUGGUGGUUUUUGCUGGCAGCAGUUUCGCAUUUAUUUCCUUUGUAACUUGCAGUGUCAAAAAGUCACUGUUGGAUGCAUAUUGUAGAGCAAAGUCUCUCAUAUUAGUGGAAAGUUUCGAUUUUUAAUCAUCAUGGAAUUUUUGAAAAUCUUUUAAAAUUGCGUUUGGUUGACGAGGUUGUUUUUGCAAGCCGGAGUUUGGCAUGCACGUAUUCAGAAUCUAAUAAAGUGAGAAAGUCAAUCUUA